rnacentral:lncRNA from 1 species
GAAUGUAUCAGUUUAUGUAUUAUAGCACAACAUCCAAGAAUAAUAAAGGAUUCAGUUCACACCCUUCUUAACCUUGCUCCAUUGUGUGAAGACUUUCCGUGCCAGUGUCGAUCUGAUAUGAAAAUGCUUUGUGCUCUAUGUCACUGAGGUUCUCUUUUUUUAAUGUUGCCCUUCUUUUUCUUCUUUUUUUCUGCCUCGUAUGGAAAUAGUCAGAAGCAUUCAAAUUUAACUUAUGGGAUGUCCAUAAGUUAAACUAAUUUAACUUAUGGGAUGUCCAAAAAGCUAAGAAAUUAUCACAACCUUGAAAAUAAAAGCUGUCUGCUUUCACUGAUUAUCAUCCAAAAUCCUCACUGAAUUUACAUUUUCCAAAAUAAAAGGAAAGCCAAGUUACCAGGGUCAAUAUCCAUCCUGUCUCCAGUUCUUUUCCCACAUAGAUUAUCAUAGAAUACUGGGUAUAUGCAUGACUGGGUUACUUUAUUGUACAGAAGAAAUUAUCACAACCUUGAAAAUUAACUAUACUUCAGUGAAACUUAAAAAAAACCCUAUAGAAUUGAUUUCCCACUGUGGUGAAGUGGGUUGAAGAUCCUGCAGUGUCUCUGAGGCAGCCGCUGCUCAGAUUUGAUCCCUUGCCUGGAAAUUUCCAUAUGUCACUAGUGUGGCCCCAAAAAAAAAGGAAUCUGAGCAAUAUCAUAACUCUGACUAAUAUUUUUUAAAAAAUCAUAAAAUGUAAAGAAAAUUUUUAACCACAAAGAGUUAAUAAAUAAAUUUUAAACAUAUACAUGCAUAACCAGAAAUAUUUCAUACUCAGAAAAAUAGUAUAAUUAUACAUUUGGAUGAUCAUUGAUAGUUUUGUUUUUCAUUGUUUCAGUGCAAGCAGUGUAAGAGAGAUUUCUUCACCCCUAAAAUGUUAACGUAUUUUUGUUAUAAAUGUAUGCGGCCUAGUACAAAUCAAAUGGCCAUAAUCAGUAUGCAUUUCUUGUAGAAUGGAAACAUAAGUGACAUUUUGAAAUAUUUUAAUUGCAUGCUCAGAAGUGCUAGUGGAUAUGCCAAAGUGAGAAUAAGAUCCUGAAACUAAUUAAUGUGGCUUCAUUUAUCAAGAGCACCAGAGCUGUUAUAAAUACUAGUAAUAGCAUUGUAACAGUGUAUUUCCGUUUGUCUGUUGAUACUCUUUGCUGUCAUAGGGCCCCACACCACUGAAUCGAAGAAAGUCUUUGCAUGGAUUACACAAAAAAGCAUUCCGUAUUGUUUUGUAGUAAGUUCAUGAGACCUCCUACACUUCUAAUUCUUACACCAGUAAGAAUCUGACACUAGUAUCUAUAAUAUCUAUAGUACUGAGAUUGAUGGACUUGAAAAAAACAAUUAUGUUCAUUGUUUACAGAGCUGGAGAAAUAAAGGAAUCAGUAAAACACAUUCUACGUUCAAAAACAUUAAAUUUUAAAAAUAGAUAAAAUACAAAAAAGACUCACAUGACUGUUCUGUGAGGGAGGUCAAGGUGAGCUGCGGGGAAGGAUCAGUUUGCAAGGUUCAGUUUUAAUAUAAAGUCUUGCUUCAUAACUAGCAACUACACUGAAACAGAAAAGUCUUCAAAAUGGCAUUCUUGGAUAAAGGCCAGCCUUCAUUUCUCAUCUUUAAACAUCUUUGCCAGGGGACUGUCUACCACUGCUGUUGUAAGAACAGUAUGGAAAGAACACUGGAUAAGGAAUUCUAGAUUUGGUCUUGAAUCUUCUACUUUUUGGUAAUUUUUUUCCAUCUGGCUUUAUUUCUCAGGUUUUCAGUUUCUUCAUACAUAAACAUAAGGGGGCUGGAUUCACUAACAUUGUAAGUCUUUUCAACUAGCUCUAAAAGGCUAUGGUUCUAGAAUCAUUAAUACAUGAUGAUUGGUGACCCAAAGAAAGAAUACAAGUGAGUGUAAAACAUAAUAGUUAGAAUUAUAUCCAAGAGAAAAUUGCCUGCCCCUAUGUAAAUACAAAAAUUAUUUGUGGGUACUUUCUAUGGCAGAAAAAUUUCCAAGUUAAGUACAGAGACCACCAUGGGCAAUAAAAUAAUCCAAGCACAAUGUGGCAAAGGCAUGUUAUGUCCAAAUAAAAUUCUCAUAUUAGAAAUAGAAAGCAAGCCACACUUGAGGAAGGUAAAUAUAUGUAAAGAGAAAUUCCUCUCAAGCUUGAACCACGUUUGUCAUCUAGUGCAAAGGCUAGAUUAGUAGCACCAAUAAAGGAAAGUAAGAACACAUUCCAGCUUUGUUUAUAUGUCCUCUUGCUGAAAAGCUUCCUUUGUCUUUGUU